GACGAACGCUGGCGGUGUGCUUAACACAUGCAAGUCGAACGGUAAGGCCCUUUCGGGGGUCCACGAGUGGCGAACGGGUGAGUAACACGUGAGUAACCUGCCCUCAUCUCUGGGAUAACAGUCGGAAACGGUUGCUAAUUCUGGAUAUGAGCUUGCAAGGCAUCUUGUGGGUUGGAAAGAUUUUUUUUGGUUGGGGAUGGACUCGCGGCCUAUCAGCUUGUUGGUGAGGUAGUGGCUCACCAAGGCUUCGACGGGUAGCCGGCCUGAGAGGGCGACCGGCCACAUUGGGACUGAGAUACGGCCCAAACUCCUACGGGAGGCAGCAGUGGGGAAUAUUGCACAAUGGACGGAAGUCUGAUGCAGCAACGCCGCGUGCGGGAUGACGGCCUUCGGGUUGUAAACCGCUUUCAAUUGUGACGAAGCGUUUUUGUGACGGUAGCAGUAGAAGAAGCACCGGCUAACUACGUG
rnacentral:rRNA from 1 species